UACGAAGGGGGCUAGCGUUGCUCGGAAUCACUGGGCGUAAAGGGCGCGUAGGCGGAUCUUUAAGUCGGGGGUGAAAGCCCAGGGCUCAACCCUGGAAUUGCCUUCGAUACUGGAGAUCUUGAGACCGGAAGAGGUAAGUGGAACUGCGAGUGUAGAGGUGAAAUUCGUAGAUAUUCGCAAGAACACCAGUGGCGAAGGCGGCUUACUGGUCCGGUAUUGACGCUGAGGCGCGAAAGCCAGGGGAGCAAACGGG
rnacentral:rRNA from 1 species